rnacentral:rRNA from 1 species
CCGGCGUACGGGUGAGUAACACGUAUCCAACCUGCCGUCUACUCUUGGCCAGCCUUCUGAAAGGAAGAUUAAUCCAGGAUGGCAUCAUGAGUUCACAUGUCCGCAUGAUUAAAGGUAUUUUCCGGUAGACGAUGGGGAUGCGUUCCAUUAGAUAGUAGGCGGGGUAACGGCCCACCUAGUCAACGAUGGAUAGGGGUUCUGAGAGGAAGGUCCCCCACAUUGGAACUGAGACACGGUCCAA